rnacentral:rRNA from 1 species
AACACAUGCAAGUCGAGCGGGCGUAGCAAUACGUCAGCGGCAGACGGGUGAGUAACGCGUGGGAACGUACCUUUUGGUUCGGAACAACACAGGGAAACUUGUGCUAAUACCGGAUAAGCCCUUACGGGGAAAGAUUUAUCGCCGAAAGAUCGGCCCGCGUCUGAUUAGCUAGUUGGUGAGGUAAUGGCUCACCAAGGCGACGAUCAGUAGCUGGUCUGAGAGGAUGAUCAGCCACAUUGGGACUGAGACACGGCCCAAACUCCUACGGGAGGCAGCAGUGGGGAAUAUUGGACAAUGGGCGCAAGCCUGAUCCAGCCAUGCCGCGUGAGUGAUGAAGGCCCUAGGGUUGUAAAGCUCUUUUGUGCGGGAAGAUAAUGACGGUACCGCAAGAAUAAGCCCCGG